rnacentral:rRNA from 1 species
UACGAAGGGGGCUAGCGUUGCUCGGAAUCACUGGGCGUAAAGGGCGCGUAGGCGGACUCGUAAGUCAGAGGUGAAAGCCCAAGGCUCAACCUUGGAAUUGCCUUUGAUACUGGGAGUCUAGAGACCGGAAGAGGUAAGUGGAACUGCGAGUGUAGAGGUGAAAUUCGUAGAUAUUCGCAAGAACACCAGUGGCGAAGGCGGCUUACUGGUCCGGUACUGACGCUGAGGCGCGAAAGCGUGGGGAGCAAACAGG